GAAAACCUCUCGACUCUUUUCAUUGCGCUUCUCUUUAGAUCUCACAUCUCAGGUAUUCUGCAGUAAAGAAAAAAAUGUCACGAAGGUAUGAUAGCCGAACAACAAUCUUCUCCCCAGAAGGUCGUCUCUACCAAGUUGAGUACGCAAUGGAGGCUAUUGGAAAUGCAGGUAGUGCUAUAGGCAUCUUGUCCAAGGAUGGGGUGGUGUUGGUAGGUGAAAAGAAAGUUACAUCUAAGCUGCUUCAGACCUCUACUUCAAGUGAGAAGAUGUACAAGAUCGAUGAUCAUGUGGCAUGCGCUGUAGCUGGAAUUAUGUCUGAUGCCAACAUUCUGAUCAACACAGCCAGGGUUCAGGCUCAGCGCUAUACGUUCGCUUAUCAAGAACCCAUGCCAGUUGAGCAACUUGUCCAGUCACUAUGUGAUACCAAGCAAGGUUACACA
rnacentral:misc_RNA from 1 species